AUAAUUUAUUUAUUAUUUUUUUAUUCAUGUAUUUCUAUAUUUUUUUCUGCCAAUUCCAUGCUUACUCCUAUUGUUUCGUGUGUGGAAAAUAUUUUCUCCACUGAUUCAGCCCCACGCACUCUUGCUCCUUUCCCUUACCUUCAGUUCAUCCCCAACAGUGAAAUCCUUAUGCCCUAGCUGCUGCUCCGGUCGCCGUUCGUCACCGUUGCCGUCGCCGUCGCCGUCGCCGUCGCCGUUGAUCAUCUUGGCUGAUCUUGCCUAGUCUAAAGAUUAACUUCCGUCUUCUCGGUCCCUCUCUUUUUCAUCUUCUCUCUCUUUCUCUCUUUCUCUGGAUGUCGGACCGAUGCUGUUUCUCUCUCCCUUCCUCUGUUCCUCUCUCCCCUCUCUUUCGCCUCCCCUCCCAUCUUUAUCUUCUCCGACUCUUCUCGUGAUGGUGAGAUCUCCUUUUCUUUUUCUUCGAGCAUCGAGGCCUCCUCCAGCGGCCGGCGGCCGUUGAGCCCCUCUUUCUUCUUCUCCUUCUCUCUCGCUCUCCCUCACUUUCUUUCUCCCCCCUCUCUCUCCCUCUCUCCCUCUCCUCCCCGCUCUUCCCCCAUUGUCUCCCCUCCCUCCGGCUGACGGCUGACUUCGAGGCCUUCUUUCUGUUCUCCGACUGAUGGCGAGGGUAUCCCAGCUCUUCCUGCUACAGAAGGGGAUCCGGCCUACGUCCAAUGUAAUUAAGGCCAGAUUUAAAGAACCACAACCCUAUCAUCAUCCUGGCAUUCCACAAUUAAUCCGAGGUUCCUUAUGUGCACCAUCUUAUAGUAGGGUUUCUCUUAGUCAUUUUUUUUCUUUAGUGGUUGGUAGACAGAUCUAAAGGAUUUUGCAUUCCGGGCUUAUGAAGGCGUGUGAUUUGCUCAAAAAGAGUCGGGGUGAAUAUUGGGAAAACUAGAUAAUGUAUAUCAUGGUUGUAUUCAUUACAAUACUUGGUGCAUUUUACAAGUAAAUCCCCUAUUUUGGCAUUUCCCUUGCAGAGGUAUUGGACUACACAUGCAUCAGCAUCUUGGUACAAUAGAAAUUUUCCAGCAAACUUCCGACUUGCUGUUUUGAUGGUGUUAGCAGCCAUCUAUUGGAGUUAACAGAUUGUUAUUCAUUCCUACCUUGGUAAUUAUUUUGAUGGUGUUAACAGAUUGCGACCUGCUAUUUUGAUGAUUGCUUAUGUAUUGGAAACUUCAUCUGCUUACGUGGAUCCAUUGUCUGUUUCAGAGGUUUUAUUGAUAUUAUGGAGAAAUCAAGAAAACGUAUCAUGGAGCCUUUAAUAGACGAACAUAGUCAAGCCGAAAGUAAUAUACCUUUACGGUCUCAACAACAAAGUCUAUCCUGAAGGCAAAAUAAGUCUCACUUCCAAUACCAUAAUCGAUCAAACAGUCCUAUGGAGAAUGAUGAUCAAUUUCAAAAUGGAGAUUUCAAAGAGGAAGGACCAGGGGAAGAAAAUGCAUCAAGUAUAACAUAUCUAGUUACAAAAUACUUAUCAAUCUAAGAAAGUAAAUAAUUUUUUUUAAUUUAUUCUUUAGCCCGACCAAACAAGAUAGCAAAGGGUUGUAACACCAAUACAUAUGAAGAGUCUCGCAAGCAAAGAAUUGAAGAAAAUAAAAAGAGAACUGAGGUGACUGAUUGUAAAUUUAUCAAGUCUUACAUUUUUUUCCUAAUUAUUAAUUGUAAGUUAAGAAAGAAUGAUUCUUUAAUCAAUUACUUUAACCAUUCUCUUCUCAAGGAAUUGAAAAUUUUGAAGAUUUCAAAAAGCUUGACAGAAGUUACAAAUUCAGCAAAAAAGAUCUCGGUAUAACCCUAAGUUUUUGUUGCUUAAUUCUUCGUCAAAAACCAACUAUCUGCCUGAUGUCUAUUUCCCUCUCUCUCUAUGUAUAUAUUAAAUUUUUGCAGCAGCAGCACCUUUCAAAACAGAGAUCAUCCAAGCACAAUAUCGUAUUGAAAUGAAAGCGCUCUUCUCGUGUGAAUCAUCAAUCAAAUAAUUACAUGGAGAAUGAUGAGUCUCACUCGGAACAUCACAAUAAUAGUGAUAUGGAAAAUAAUGAUGAAUCUCUAAGUGUUGAAUUUCUAGAGGAAGGAGAAGAGGAAGAAAAUAUAUCAGGUAUAAUAUAGUAUUAUAUAGUUGUUUGUGAUGUAGGACAAAAUCUAAUAUGGGGCCUUUGAAAUUUAUGACAUAGAUACAAGAGAAAGUAGGGUAGGAGCUAUUUAAGAUGGUCAUGUGUUCCUAGAAACUAAAAUAAUUUAGAUUCUGGAAUUUAGAAGGUUGAACAGUAAUUGUGAAUAGUUAUUUCAAACUUGCUGAAAAUUACUGAGAUUGAAAAUAUAGGCUGAGAUUGAACUAGAUGGGUAGGUACUGUAUUUUGGCUUUAAGGAGUUGUAAUGGCUGUUUGCCUUUUCUAUCUUUAUUAGCAUAUAUUUUUUCUCAUGGGCUGUUGCAUCAGGAUGCUUACUAAUUAAUGAUAAUUUUGACAAUCACAAUCCUUAGAACAAAGGGCUGUAAGUGGACCUACUCUAUUGGCUGAUGUUUGGGACAUGCUUGAAGAAAACACAAUUGUUGUAAAGUUUAAUGAUCGUGGGCAACCCAUUGAUGAAAAAGGGCGAGUGCUAGCUAGUUUUUUUAGGGAUCAUGGCAAGAAAUGCUGCACUAACUCCUUUGAAUUUUAGCGAUUGGAGAACCUUUCCAAAAGAGGGAAAAAGCAAACUUUUGGCAUUUGUGAAGGCAAAAUGGUUACUCAUAUUUAUUUUUUCAUUAUUAAAAUAUUAUGAGUUGUAUGGAGUCUGCAUUUCAUAAUUUGUUUUUGUUAUUUUAAUCUUUUUGUAUUGUAGACAAAGUUUACUAUUCCACGAAUUGGUGAUGAUUGGGUUCUUAAGUCCAUAGCAAAAAAAUGGAGGGAUUACAAAAGUAAUUUGAAGCCUGAGUACACAGAAAAAUAUAGAACUCUUUAGGAGCUACAUUCGAAUAAACCUGACCGUAUAUCAAGAGAUCAAUGGAAAGCUUUGGUUUGGAUUAUGAUGGCUGGUUUGGUUUUAUAAUGUCUUUUAUGGUGGCUAGUUUUAAAACUUACAUUAUGAUUAGUUUGACAAAUUGUUGAUUAAUGGACAUAGAUAGUUUGCUGUUUCUUGAUUGAUUAUAGUGUCAUUUAGACAUUGUUUUACAUAUUUUCUUGUCAGUGCCUCCAUGUACCUCCUUUUAUUGUUUAUUUUCAGGCAUGGGAGAAUAAUUAUAAAGAAACCAAAGAUUGUAGGUUCUUUCAUUAUUUUGAAUCUAAAAAAUGAAGGCCUGAAGUUAGUAUCAAUCUCGAGUCUUUUAAAUAGAAGACUUCAUUUUAAUAUUUGAUUACUCAAGUUUGAUAUGAUAUUGUUUUACUGGGUAUCUUUAUCAACCUACUCGAAAGUUCUUCACUGCCAUAUUCAGAAACUUACUUAUACUCAAUUUAUUUGGGCAAGAUUGUUUUUCAAUUAUUGGCAUCUGUUACUUAAGCCUAUUCACUGGGCUUUUAAUCUCCAUAUCUUUCAUGAUGGUAAUAGAGCAGCAGAUUUUCUUGCUGAUUUAGCUAAAAAAAGCUGAUUUUGAUGUUGGUCUGUCUAGUCCUUUUGCUUCGGAUGUCCUUCAUAUCCUUUGAGCGAAGUCUUGAGGAUUUACUAUGAACGAUGAUGAUGCCAGUAUGCAAAUCUGUGGGUCAUCAUUUAAUCCUAUAUGGGGUUCUUAGUUUUUUGAUCCCAUAUCAGCAAUUGCUUUGCUGUUGCAGGCUGAAAUGUUGGGGAUUUUGCUAUUGGUUUGGUGUUUGCACUAGCUCUGAGUUCAAUGCUUGUAUCUCUAUUAUUUUCAAAUGUCUUAAUCUUCUUGAUCCAUUUCGGGGGAUGAAUGUUUCAUCACAAUGAUACUGUUUUAUUUAAAGGAUUUAUGGACUUCUAUGGUUAAGAAACAAGAAGUACCUUUAUUUAUGUUCUACUUGGUUAGCUAAAAAAGCUGAUUUUGAUAUUGGCCCAUCUGGUCCUUUUGCUUUGGAUUUCCUUCAUGUCCUUUGAGCGGAGUCUUGGGGGAUUUACUAUGAACGAUGAUGAUGCCAGUAUGCAAAUCUGUGGGUCAUCAUUUAAUCCUAUAUGGGACUGUUAGUUUUCUGAUCCCAGAUUAGCAAUUGCUCUGCUGUUGCAUGCUGAAAUGUUGGGGAUUUUGCUAUUGGUUCGAUGUUUGAACUAGCUCCGAGUUCAAUGCUUGCAUCUCUGUUGUUUUCAAAUAUCUUAAUCUUCUUGAUCCAUUUCUGGGGGGUGAAUGUUUCAUCACAAUGAUACUGUUUUAUUUAAAAGAUUUAUGGACUUCUAUAGUUAGGAAACAAGAAGUACCUUUAUUUAUGUUCUAGUUGGUUGGCUAAAAGGCUGAUUUUGAUAUUGGUCCGUCUGGUCCUUUUGCUUUGGAUUUCCUUCAUAUCUUUUGAGCGGAGUCUUGGGGGAUUUACUAUGAACGAUGAUGAUGCCAGUAUGCAAAUCUAUGGGUCAUUAUUUAAUCCUAUAUGGAACUGUUAGUUUUUUUGAUCCCAGAUCUGCAAUUGCUUUGCUGUUGCAGGCUGAAAUGUUGGGGAUUUUGCUAUUGGUUCGAUGUUUGAACUGGCUCCGAGUUCAAUGCUUGCUUCUCUAUUGUUUUCAAAUGUCUUAAUCUUCUUGAUCCAUUUCUGGGGGAUGAAUGUUUCGUCACAAUGAUAUUGUUUUAUUUAAAGGAUUUAUGGACUUCUAUAGUUAGGAAACAAGAAGUACCUUUAUUUUUGUUCUACUUGGUUGGCUAAAAAGCUGAUUUUGAUAUUGGUCCGUCUGGUCCUUUUGCUUUGGGUUUCCUUCAUAUCCUUCGAGCGGAGUCUGGGGGAUUUAUUAUGAAUGAUGAUGAUGCCAGUAUGCAAAUCUGUAGGUCAUCAUUUAAUCCUAUAUGAGGUUUUUAGUUUUCUGAUCCCAGAUCAGCAAUUGCUUUGCUAUCACACGCUGAAAUGUUGGGAAUUUUGCUAUUGAUUCGAUGUUUGCACUGGCUCUGAGUUCAAUGCUUGCAUAUCUAUUGUUUUCAAAUGUCUUAAUCUUCUUGAUCCAUUUCUGGGGGGUGAAUGUUUCAUCACAAUGAUACUGUUUUAUUUAAAGGAUUUAUGGACUUCUAUGGUUAGGAAACAAGAAGUACCUUUAUUUAUGUUCUACUUGGUUAGCUAAAAAAGCUGAUUUUGAUAUUGGUCCGUUUGGUCCUUUUGCUUCAGGUUUCCUUCAUAUCCUUCGAGUGGAGUCUUGGGGGAUUUACUAUGAACGAUGAUGAUGCCAGUAUGCAAAUCUGCCGAAGUUGCUAAAGCUCUAGUGAAGCAAAAAUAGGAAGCAAUAUCUAUGUUUAUAUCAAGUAGCAUGGGGCAUAAGAUCUUCUCUGGUGAUUCAGAUAGAACUUAAAGAAGUAAGAAGCCUGAUGCAUAUAUGCGACUUUCAAAUGAAGAUCAGAUAUUACUGAACUUAUUGAAGCCUUCUGUUUCUAUUCUUAUGUAUCAUUCCUUCACUUCCAUCCUAUUGUAAAUCAAUUGAAGACUGUCAUAAAAUGUCUGGCUAGUCUUCUACUUUCUGUCCUUAUUAUGUAAUGAAGCUAAGUGUGAUAUUACUCCCCAUGGUCUCCUCUCAAUUCUUCUAUAUGAGAAAUCUUAGCAUAGUCG